rnacentral:rRNA from 3 species
GGCGAGGGGAGUGAAAAAGAACCUGAAACCGUGUACGUACAAGCAGUGGGAGCACAGGUUUACCUGUGUGACUGCGUACCUUUUGUAUAAUGGGUCAGCGACUUAUAUUCUGUAGCAAGGUUAACCGAAUAGGGGAGCCGGAGGGAAACCGAGUCUUAACUGGGCGUUAAGUUGCAGGGUAUAGACCCGAAACCCGGUGAUCUAGCCAUGGGCAGGUUGAAGGUUGGGUAACACUAACUGGAGGACCGAACCGACUAAUGUUGAAAAA